GCGAAGUAGCUGAUUUCACACUGUCAAGAAAAGUCUCUAUCGAGGUUAAAGGUACCCGUACCGCAAACCGACACAGGUGGGUGAGGAGAGUAUCCUAAGGCCAGCGAGAGAACUGUUGUUAAGGAACCCGGCAAAAUGACCCCGUAACUUAGGGAUAAGGGGUGCCACCAUCAGGUGGCCGCAGAGAAUAGGCCCAAGCGACUGUUUACCAAAAACAUAGGUUUCUGCUAAGUCGCAAGACGAUGUAUAGGAGCU
rnacentral:rRNA from 1 species